rnacentral:rRNA from 1 species
UACAGAGGGUGCGAGCGUUAAUCGGAAUUACUGGGCGUAAAGCGAACGUAGACGGUUGGAUAAGUCGGAUGUGAAAGCCCCGGGCUCAACCUGGGAAUUGCAUUCGAGACUGUUCAGCUAGGGUGCGGAAGAGGGAAGCGGAAUUUCCGGUGUAGCGGUGAAAUGCGCAGAUAUCAGGAGGAACACCAAUGGCGAAGGCAGCUCGCUGGGACGGUACUGACGCUGAGACGCGAAAGCGUGGGGAGCAAACAGG